GAUGAACGCUGGCGGCGUGCCUAAUACAUGCCAGUCGAGCGAACGGACGAGAAGCUUGCUUCUCUGAUGUUAGCGGCGGACGGGUGAGUAACACGUGGAUAACCUACCUAUAAGACUGGGAUAACUGCGGGAAACCGGAGCUAAGACCGGAUAAUAUUUUGACCUGCAUGGUUCAAAAGUGAAAGACGGUCUUGCUGUCACUUAUAGAUGGAUCCGCGCGGCAUUAGUUAGUUGGUAAGGUAACGGCUUAGCAAGGCAACGAUGGAUAGCCGACCUGAGAGGGUGGACGGCCAGCUUGGAAGUGAGACACGGUCCAGACUCCUACGGGAGGACGCAGCAGGGAAUCUUCCGCAAUGCGCGAAAGCCUGACGGAGCAACGCCGCGUGAGUGAUGAAGGUCUUCGGCUCCUAGAACUCUGUUAUUCGGGAAGAACAUAUGUGUAAGUACCUGUGCACAUCUUGACGGUACCUAAUCAGAAAGCCACGGCUAACUACGUG
rnacentral:rRNA from 1 species